ACACAACUUCAGCAUGGUGUGGUAGUAGUGUUAACCAAUAAUGAUCCUAGUUCAGAUAGUUAAGCAGCACAGUGGCGUGGAUUGAUGAUUCUAGCUAUAACUACAUAUGGAUUACAAAAGUAAGAACAAUUUACAAGAACUAGCUCAUCCAAGAAGAAAACAUAAACGGUUUAGGUGGAGAAACAAAAAAAAGGAUCAAACUCAUUUCAGCUUGUUUCCAGCGACAGUGAAUUAGGUGAAGACGGCAGUUCCAGGGAAAGUCCGACGGAGGAACUGAGUGUUGGCCCCAGGUAUCAGUUACUUGCAAGCAACAAAAUGAUGGGAAAGUAUUCCAUAUCAAAUGUGAAAGUGGGUUCUGUAGCUUGUGGAAUCAUGGGCUGUUUGGGUAAUAAAGGGCCUGUAUUUGUUAGCUUAUCUAUUGAAAGUAGCACCUCUUGUUUCGUCGCUGCUUAUUUAGCUUCUGGCGAGAAGGAUGGAGACGAGUAACUAUCACAGAUACAAGCAAGACAGUUCACAAAAAAAAAAAAAAAAUGAUCCAACUUUUUUGUUUGUUUGUGUGUGUGUAUGUAUGUGCAGCCGGAUACUCUGGUUUGGGGAUCUGAACUAUAAACUGGGCACGAAAGAUGUAUUGGCGAGGGAACUCGUAAGGAGUAAAGACUGGAUUGGACUUCAGCAGAUCGAUCAACUACGAGAGGAAUUACAGGAUUUUGGUGGUGUCUUUCAAGGUUGGAAUGAGGGGAAUUUGGAGUUUGCAGCUUACUUACGAACACGCUUUUUCGAAUUGCAACUGAUACUCUGGUGGUGGAAGGGGAUCCGGUUGUUGGCUCCACGAAUCCUGCAGUUGUCAAACUUCAAAUAUUUCCUCAAGCCAAUUCUCUUCCCGUCGACAACCAAACUGUCAUAGCGAUUAAAUAGCCUAGAAGUACAAAAAAGAUUCAUCCUGGCUUUAAAUUCUAAGGAAAUGUAUGAUUGGAAGGCAACGGGAUCUUCCGAGACUGUCAAGCAGAGGUAAUCAAAUACUACUA